UGGGGUGUGGCUCUGUAGUUGAGCUCAUGCUUAGUAUGCACGAGGCCCUGGGUUCAAUUCCCAACACCAAAA
rnacentral:tRNA from 1 species